AUCCCGGCAAGUGAGCGCCCAGGGACUCUCGGCCAGAGAGGCUGUGAGGGUGGCUUUGUGAGGAUGGCUUUGUGUGGCUGCACAUUGCCCUUGGCCAAGCCCCGCUGCCAGGAGAGGCAGCUCGGCUGCCAAACCUCCUGAACCCAAGUUACCUGAGCAAGCAGCCCUAUCCCCUCGCCUGCUUCUCACUGCCUCGCCUGCCUUGGGCCUGCCCGACCCAGGGGGUCACAUGCCUUGUUCCCCAUCAGUGGAGACCAGGGACAAGAAGACAGUUCUGUGGGAAGAGCCAGGAGGACCAUUUGGGAAAAUACAGGUUCCAGGUGUGUCUCCAGACCUUGAGAGUUGGUGUCUCCUGGGAAGAGGCCCUGAUGAGAUCUGGGGAGAUUCGGAUCUGAUGAGAUUCAGGAAGCCCUGGCCUCUCCGUACUUGAGGAGACGGGACACACAGGACAAGCUGCAGGCUGGUGAGCAGGUUCACCUUCUAUUUUGAAGACCCGCUUCUUCCUCAGGUACCUGAUCUUGAAAACGACCUCCCCUUUCAGGUCUUGCUUCCCCUCAACCCAGACACCGACUCGCCCAAGGGUCUUCCAGCUGGCUGAGUUGGAACCUGCAUUUUUUAACCACAAGGAAAAGAAGCCCAGAGCUACCAAGAAUAAUAUUUUAUUGACUUGGAAUGAGUUUUGGAAUCUGUAUUUUUAACAAGCUGCCCAGUGAAAACCAUUUCCUCCUCGUCGUGGCGCAGGUCCAGAGGCUGCGCCCAUCUCUCCCACGUCAACAGUCCUGUGUCCUUGGCGAAGGACUGUUCUCUCAUUCAGUGCCUUUCCUCUCUUCCUGGGCCAAAUCCCUGCUUUGCGUCUCCCUGCAGCUCAUAAAAAGCUGAAUUACCUGAGGCAGGGAAAGCCCCACCCACUGUCAUUCUCAGGGAGGAGUGGAGUCUGCAGAGGCCGCAAUGCACAGCUUCCCUAUCCCCCUCCACCCGUGUUUUCCCAGAGCAGCUCUGUUCCAGGCCCGGGGGUGUCCCUGGGCCGAGAUGGAAUCCAGCCCUGACCACCUCCCAAAGCCAACAGCCCUGAGUGAGCGUGCAGAGAAGCAAGAGCUGUUCCUGAUGCAGAGCAAAGACAUCUCCCAGUCAAGGGGGAUGAACUGAUUUGGGACAAAAGGCAGUUGUUGGCUGAGGAAGGCAGGAUCUGGGGGAGCCCUGUGCUGAGUGGAGGUGGGUGGGUGUAUUUCCUUGGCUCACAGAGGCCUCUUGUCUGGUGGGAUCAGCUCCUCCAGCCAGUUGCCACCUGGUCCAGCUUUGGGAGAUGUGGAGAAUGACUUUCGCAGUGAUUUCCACUGGGCCAUGGCAUUGAAACAGCUGCAGGAGGGGACACAGCUGGUGCCACCCCUACUCCGUCCAUUAGAGCUGCUGUGAAGGAAUGCCACCCUCCCCAUGGGGAGUGAGGGGGCCCUACUUGCUGUGGUUGGUUCCAGGGACCAUGGGAAGAGGCAAACCCCUAUUUUCAAGGGCACAAGUUGGCUUUUAUUAAAAUAAAAUUUCAUCAUCACUUAUUCCAGUGGCUCCCAAACUUGGCUAAACAUCAGGAUCACCCAGGAUGUUUGUUAAAAAAUAAAGAUUAUGGCCGGGUGCAGUGGCUCACGCCUGUAAUCCUAGCACUUUGGGAGGCCCAGGCGGGCAGAUCACUUGAGGUCAAGAAUUCGAGACCAGCCUGGCCAACAUGGGGAAAUGCUGUCUCUACUAAAAAUACAAAAAUUAGCUGGGUGUGGUGGUGCAUACCUGUAACCCCAGCUACUCGGAGGCAGAGGCAGGAGAAUUGCUUGAACUUGGGAGGCAAAGGUGGCAGUGAGUCGAGAUAGCGCCACUGCACUGCACUCCAG
rnacentral:lncRNA from 1 species